UACAGAGGUCUCAAGCGUUGUCCGGAUUUACUGGGCGUAAAGAGCGCGCAGGCGGUCGUGCAAGUCGCGUGUGAAAGCCCCCGGCUCAACUGGGGAGGGUCACGCGAUACUGCUCGACUCGAAGGCAGGAGAGGGAAGUGGAAUUCCCGGUGUAGUGGUGAAAUGCGUAGAUAUCGGGAGGAACACCAGUGGCGAAGGCGACUUCCUGGCCUGUUCUUGACGCUGAGGCGCGAAAGCUAGGGUAGCAAACGGG
rnacentral:rRNA from 1 species